rnacentral:rRNA from 1 species
AUUGAACGCUGGCGGCAGGCCUAACACAUGCAAGUCGAACGAGUGGCGGACGGGUGAGUAAUGUCUGGGAAACUGUCCGAUGGAGGGGGAUAACUACUGGAAACGGUAGCUAAUACCGCAUACCAUCGGAUGUGCCCAGAUGGGCUUAGCUUGUAGGUGAGGUAACGGCUCACCUAGGCGACGAUCCCUAGCUGGGCUGAGAGGCGGACCAGCCACACGGGAACUGAGUAACGGGCCAGACGCCGACGGGAGGAGUCAGUGGGGAAGAGUGCACAAUGGGCGCAAGCCUGAUGCAGCCAUGCCGCGGGUAGGAAGAAGGCCUUCGGGUUGUAAAGUACUUUCAGCGGGGAGGCGUUACCCGCAGAAGAAGCACCGGCUAACUCCGUGCCAGCCGCCGCGGUAAUUC